rnacentral:lncRNA from 1 species
GCGCCGGGAACGCCUGAGAGCCGAGCCCGCGCUGACCGGGGCCCGGGCCGGAUGGGCGCUGCGGGCCGGGGCGCGGACCGCGGAGCGGCCGUUACGUUUUUCUCUCGUCCCAGCUGUGUGGACAGUGCCACACGCCCUCCUGGACAACGACGGCUCUUGCGUGCAUUUUCCAGUGUUGCUUUUGUCAGAGAGGCCAGCAGAGCCACGGUUCUUCCAGAACCAGCCCUGAGCUGAGUGAGGAGUGCCCAGGAGAGAUGGUGAAAAUGACAAAGUCCAAAACUUUCCAAGCGUAUCUGCCGAACUGUCACCGAACGUACAGCUGUAUCCACUGCAGAGCACACCUGGCCAAUCAUGACGAGCUCAUCUCCAAGUCACUUGCAGAAUGUUGACGCAGCAGAAUCAGCCACUCCUGUCUACAAUGAAAAACAGCUUGCAGCUCCGUUAAGUGGCUGUUAUUAGAAGUGGAGUUCUGGAGGGGGGACGCCGGUGUCUGCUCCCGGUGACGCGUCCCGGCGCAGCUAACAGCCGCGGGGCUGGACUCCCCUGGUUCUGGGCAGCACCGCUUCGUUCCAGAAAGCACUCGCAGCCAAUCUCACGGGACCUUCUUCUUUCAGUCCUUUCAGGGGAGCCAGGGACGCGCCUACCUCUUCAAUUCCGUGGUGAACGUGGGCUGCGGCCCUGCAGAGGAGAGGGUCCUUCUCACCGGGCUGCAUGCGGUUGCCGACAUCUACUGCGAGAACUGCAAGACCACGCUCGGGUGGAAAUACGAGCAUGCCUUUGAGAGCAG